rnacentral:rRNA from 1 species
UCUCAGUUCGGAUUGAAGGCUGAAAUUCGCCUUUAUGAAGCCGGAAUUGCUGUAAUGGCAGGUCAGCAUACUGCCGUGAAUACGUUCCCGGGCCUUGUACACACCGCCCGUCACACCAUGGGAGUCGGUAACACCCGAAGUCGGUAGCCUAACCGUAAGGAGGGCGCCGCCGAAGGUGGGAUUGAUGACUGGGGUGAAGUCGUAACAAGGUAUC